rnacentral:rRNA from 1 species
CACGCUGUAACGAUGUCAACUAGCCGUUGGGACUCUUGAAGUCUUAGUGGCGCAGCUAACGCACUAAGUUGACCGCCUGGGGAGUACGGCCGCAAGGUUAAAACUCAAAUGAAUUGACGGGGGCCCGCACAAGCGGUGGAGCAUGUGGUUUAAUUCGACGCAACGCGAAGAACCUUACCUGGCCUUGACAUGCAGAGAACUUUCCAGAGAUGGAUUGGUGCCUUCGGGAACUCUGACACAGGUGCUGCAUGGCCGUCGUCAGCUCGUGUCGUGAGAUGUUGGGUUAAGUCCCGUAACGAGCGCAACCCCUAUCCCUAGUUGCUAGCAGUUCGGCUGAGAACUCUAGGGAGACUGCCGGUGACAAACCGGAGGAAGGUGGGGAUGACGUCAGGUCAUCAUGGCCCUUACGGCCAGGGCUACACACGUGCUACAAUGGUGCGUACAGAGGGCUGCAAACCCGCGAGGGGGAGCUAAUCUCACAAAACGCAUCGUAGUCCGGAUCGGAGUCUGCAACUCGACUCCGUGAAGUCGGAAUCGCUAGUAAUCGCGAAUCAGAAUGUCGCGGUGAAUACGUUCCCGGGCCUUGUACACACCGCCCGUCACACCAUGGGAGUGGAUUGCACCAGAAGUGGUUAGUCUAACCUUCGGGAGGACGAUCACCACGGUGUGGUUCAUGACUGGG